rnacentral:piRNA from 1 species
UCCUGGUGGAAGUUAGGUGCUAAUGGAGGU